UGGGGAAUAUUGGGCAAUGGGCGCAAGCCUGACCCAGCAACGCCGCGUGAAGGAAGAAGGCUUUCGGGUUGUAAACUUCUUUUCUGAGGGACGAUAGUGACGGUACCUCAGGAAUAAGCCACGGCUAACUACGUGCCAGCAGCCGCGGUAAUACGUAGGUGGCAAGCGUUAUCCGGAUUUACUGGGUGUAAAGGGCGUGUAGGCGGGACUGCAAGUCAGAUGUGAAAAGCCAGAGGCUCAACCUCUGGCCUGCAUUUGAAACUGUAGUUCUUGAGUGUUGGAGAGGCAGGCGGAAUUCCGUGUGUAGCGGUGAAACUGCGUAGAUAUACGGAGGAACACCAGUGGCGAAGGCGGCCUGCUGGACAAUAACUGACGCUGAGGCGCGAAAGCGUAGGGAGCAAAUCAGGAUUAGAUACCC
rnacentral:rRNA from 1 species